CGAAAGCCUGACGGAGCAAUACCGCGUGAGGGAGGAAGGCUCUAGGGUUGUAAACCUCUUUUCUCAGGGAAGAAUAAAAUGACGGUACCUGAGGAAUAAGCAUCGGCUAACUCCGUGCCAGCAGCCGCGGUAAUACGGAGGAUGCAAGCGUUAUCCGGAUUUAUUGGGCGUAAAGCGUCCGCAGGUGGCAGUUCAAGUCUGCUGUCAAAGCGUCGAGGCUCAACCCCGUAACAGGCAGUGGAAACUGAACAGACUAGAGUACGGUAGGGGCAGAGGGAAUUCCCAGUGUAGCGGUGAAAUGCGUAGAGAUUGGGAAGAACACCAGCGGCGAAAGCGCGCUACUAGGCCGAACACUGACACUCAUGGACGAAAGCUAGGGGAGCGAAAGGGAUUAGAUACCCCAGUAGUCCUAGCCGUAAACGAUGGAUACUAGGCGUUGCCAGUAUCGACCCGCAGCAGUGCCGUAGCUAACGCGUUAAGUAUCCCGCCUGGGGAGUAUGCACGCAAGUGUGAAACUCAAAGGAAUUGACGGGGCCCCGCACAAGCGGUGGAGUAUGUGGUUUAAUUCGAUGCAACGCGAAGAACCUUACCAGGGCUUGACAUGUCGCGAAUCCCGGUGAAAGUCGGGAGUGCCUUCGGGAGCGCGAACACAGGUGGUGCAUGGCUGUCGUCAGCUCGUGUCGUGAGAUGUUGGGUUAAGUCCCGCAACGAGCGCAACCCUCGUUUUUAGUUGCCAGCAUUUAGUUGGGCACUCUAGAGAGACUGCCGGUGACAAACCGGAGGAAGGUGGGGAUGACGUCAAGUCAGCAUGCCCCUUACGUCCUGGGCUACACACGUACUACAAUGCUACGGACAAAGGGUUGCGAGCUAGCGAUAGCAAGCUAAUCCCAUAAACCGUGGCUCAGUUCAGAUUGCAGGCUGCAACUCGCCUGCAUGAAGGAGGAAUCGCUAGUAAUCCCAGGUCAGCAUACUGGGGUGAAUACGUUCCCCGGGCCCUUGUACACACCGCCCGUCACACCAUGGGAGUUGGCCACGCCCGAAGUCGUUACUCCAACCGCUUGCGGAGGAGGAUGCCGAAGGCAGGGCUGAUGACUGGGGUGAAGUCGUAACAAGGUAGCCGUACCGGAAGGUGUGGCUGGAUCACCUCCUUUUAGGGAGACCUACCUACAUUGUUGCUCGAAAGCAGAAUGCAAUUAAAGCCAAUGUUGGGUCAUCCCAAGGUCGUUCAAGUUUAAGUGUUGGCUUCCAAACUAGCUAGGUUUGGUCUAUGGGCUAUUAGCUCAGGUGGUUAGAGCGCACCCCUGAUAAGGGUGAGGUCCCUGGUUCGAGUCCAGGAUGGCCCACCUUUGGCGAGGGGGUUUAGCUCAGUUGGUAGAGCGCCUGCUUUGCAAGCAGGAUGUCAACGGUUCGAGUCCGUUAACCUCCACUGGGCUUUCAGCUUAAGUGCUAGAGUCUUGAGUUAUAACUUCAGCAACUUAUCUAGCGAUUUUAGCUAGAGUGCCUGCUGGAUUUAGUUUCAGCCAGAACCUUGAAAACUGCAUAGUAACUUGUCACGUAGGAACAGUGGACAGCCACUAGCGGCUAGUGCAUAGUGCUUGCACAAUUUUGCUAGGUGUUAGCGUGCUGCACACUGUGAAUCACAGACACCAAUGAGAUUGAUAGUGGUCAAGCUACAAAGGGCUGAUGGUGGAUACCUAGGCACACAGAGGCGACGAAGGACGUGGUUACCGACGAUAUGCCCCGGGGAGUUGGAAGCAGGCAUUGAUCCGGGGGUUUCCGAAUGGGGCAACCCUACAUACUGUUACCUGAAUCUAUAGGGUAGCAAGAGCGAACGCAGCGAAUUGAAACAUCUUAGUAGCUGUAGGAAGAGAAAACAAACGUGAUUCCCUUAGUAGCGGCGAGCGAAGCGGGAAGAGCCUAAACCAGAUUGCAUGCAGUCUGGGGUUGUGGGACAGCGAUAUGGACGCGAGCGGUUAGACGAAGCAGCUGAAUACUGCAUCAGAGAAGGUGAAAAUCCUGUAGUCGAAAACUUAACGCUACUAGCUGGAUCCCGAGUAGGUCGGGGCACGUGAAAUCCCGAUUGAAUCCGCGAGGACCACCUCGUAAGGCUAAAUACUCCUGUGUGACCGAUAGUGAACCAGUACCGCGAGGGAACGGUGAAAAGAACCCCGGGAGGGGAGUGAAAUAGAACAUGAAACCAUCAGCUUACAAGCAAUCGAAGCACGAUUUAACGUGUGACGGUGUGCCUGUUGAAGAAUGAGCCGGCGACUUAUAGGCACUGGCAGAUUAAGCCGGGAAUGGCGAAGUCAAAGCGAAAGCGAGUCUGAAGAGGGCGUUAGUCAGUGUUUAUAGACCCGAACCCGGGUGAUCUAACCAUGUCCAGGAUGAAGCUUGGGUAACACCAAGUGGAGGUCCGAACCGACUGAUGUUGAAAAAUCAGCGGAUGAGGUGUGGUUAGGGGUGAAAUGCCAAUCGAACCCGGAGCUAGCUGGUUCUCCCCGAAAUGUGUUGAGGCGCAGCGGCAAUGAUUAUAGCUGGGGGGUAAAGCACUGAUUCGGUGCGGGCUGCGAGAGCGGUACCAAAUCGAGUCAAACUCUGAAUACCCAGUGCACACAUUGCCAGUGAGACGGUGGGGGAUAAGCUUCAUCGUCAAGAGGGAAACAGCCCAGACCACCAGCUAAGGUCCCCCAAAUCAUCAUUCAGUGAUUAAGGAGGUGGGAGUGCAGAGACAAACCAGGAGGUUUGCCUAGAAGCAGCCAACCUUAAAAGAGUGCGUAAUAGCUCACUGGUCAAGCGCUCCUGCGCCGAAAAUGAACGGGGCUAAAUGAUGUACCGAAGCUGUGGGAUAUGCAAAUAUCGGUAGGGGAGCGUUCUGUUGUAGUUAGAAGCAUCAGCGAGAGCAGGUGUGGACGAAGCAGAAGUGAGAAUGUCGGCUUGAGUAGCGCAAACAUUGGUGAGAAUCCAAUGCCCUGAAAUCCCAAGGUUUCCUCCGGAAGGCUCGUCCGCGGAGGGUUAGUCGGGACCUAAGGCGAGGCCGAAAGGCGUAGUCGAUGGACAACUGGUUAAUAUUCCAGUACUGAUUUUGGUUUGUGCAGAGGGACGGAGAAGGCUAAGCUAGCCGGAUGUUGGUUACCGGUUCAAGCGUCCGAGGUGUUGAGAGUCGGUGAAAACGACUUGAGCUGAGGCGUGAGUACGAGGGGAUACGUCUCCGAAGUAGUUGAUGUCAAGCUUCCAAGAAAAGCUCUAAACACGUUAAGCCAAGAUGACCCGUACCCUAAACCGACACAGGUGGGAAGGUUGAGAAUACUAAAGGGCGCGAGAUAACUCUCUCUAAGGAACUCGGCAAAAUGGCCCCGUAACUUCGGGAGAAGGGGUGCCAGCGAGAGCUGGUCGCAGUGAAGAGAUCCAGGCGACUGUUUACCAAAAACACAGGUCUCCGCUAAGUCGCAAGACGAUGUAUGGGGGCUGACGCCUGCCCAGUGCCGGAAGGUUAAGGAAGUCGGUUAGCGCAAGCGAAGCUGGCGACUGAAGCCCCGGUGAACGGCGGCCGUAACUAUAACGGUCCUAAGGUAGCGAAAUUCCUUGUCGGGUAAGUUCCGACCCGCACGAAAGGCGUAACGAUCUGGAUGCUGUCUCGGAGAGAGGCUCGGCGAAAUAGGAUUGUCUGUGAAGAUACGGACUACCUGCACCUGGACAGAAAGACCCUAUGAAGCUUUACUGUAGCCUGAGAUUGGGUUCGGGCUUUGCUUGCGCAGGAUAGGUGGGAGGCUAAGGGAGUGUUCUUGUGGGGACACUGGAGCCAACGGUGAGAUACCACUCUAGCAAGGCUAGAAUUCUAACCUUAAACCAUGAUCUGGUUGAGGAACAGUUUCAGGUAGGCAGUUUGACUGGGGCGGUCGCCUCCUAAAGUGUAACGGAGGCGCGCAAAGGUUCUCUCAGGCUGGUUGGAAAUCAGCCGUAGAGUGUAAAGGCAGAAGAGAGCUUGACUGUGAGACCAACAAGUCAAACAGGGACGAAAGUCGGCCUUAGUGAUCCGACGGCACCGCGUGGAAGGCCCGUCGCUAAACGGAUAAAAGUUACUCUAGGGAUAACAGGCUGAUCUCCCCCAAGAGUUCACAUCGACGGGGAGGUUUGGCACCUCGAUGUCGCUCAUCGCAA
rnacentral:sRNA from 1 species